rnacentral:rRNA from 1 species
ACUACGGGUGGCAGCAGUGGGGAAUAUUGCGCAAUGGGCGAAAGCCUGACGCAGCGACGCCGCGUGAGGGAUGAAGGUCUUCGGAUCGUAAACCUCUGUCAGCAGGGAAGAACGGUCACUGUGCUAAUCAGCAGUGAAUUGACGGUACCUGCAAAGGAAGCACCGGCUAACUCCGUGCCAGCAGCCGCGGUAACACGGAGGGUGCGAGCGUUAAUCGGAAUUACUGGGCGUAAAGCGCUCGUAGGCGGUAUGUCAUGUCAAGGGUGAAAUCCCCGCGCUGAACGUGGGAACUGCCUUUGAUACUGGCAAACUGGAGUGUGUGAGAGGAGAGUGGAAUUCCAGGUGUAGGAGUGAAAUCCGUAGAUAUCGGGAGGAACAUCAGUGGCGAAGGCGACUAUCUGGCACAUAACUGACGCUGAGGAGCGAAAGCGUGGGUAGCAAACAGGAUUAGAUACCCUGGUAGUC